rnacentral:tRNA from 1 species
AUCAAAGUGGCACAGCGGAAGCGUGGUGGGCCCAUAACCCACAAGUUCUAAGAUCAAAACCUAGCUUUGAUA